CAGCAAGCUAACAUGGCUGACGAUGGUACUACGAGUAAUCCAGAGAACUAUGACGGCCAAUAUAAUUUUUCAGAAACCAGACAAUCCAGUAGACUUCAUGAUUUCUGAAAUAACAGAGCUGAAACGAAGCAGGAAUAGUGCUACAUAAUAAUAAUAAUAAUAUGUAUGACAAAAAACCUCCUAUAUAAAUUGUUGUUUCUGAAUUGUUUGGCCAACCUAUGACCUUAUAUAUUUUCAGGUUAAAAGUAUACAUUACAGAUAAAUAUUUACUGGACUGUUAUGACAUGCGACAUCACUUAGAUACAAUUUCAGAAUCAUCAUUCUAAUUGUAAUUGAAAUGACAGUUUGUAACAUAAAUGUCAUUUCUUAAUAUUGUUGUAGCUGCAUAAACAAUAUAUAGUCUUUGGAAGAAACUGCUUUGGAUCAGUUCUCACAAAUUAUAAGGUAUUUUUUUUUUUGGCAGUAAAAUUUGUUAUGGAGUGCAGAUUUUAGUCAAUUUGGCAACAGACGGUAUGAUUUUUUUUUUUUUUGCAAAUAGAAGUUAUCAAUGUCUGUGAUAUAAUUUUGAUUUUAUAUAUGGUUGUUCUUGUAAUAUUGUAAUAAUAAUGAUUUUUGCUCUUGAGGUCUGAAGAUUCUGAACUCUCAUAAAGCUUUUCAAAUCCAAA